AAGUCGUAACAAGGUUUCCGUAGGUGAACCUGCGGAAGGAUCAUUAGUGAUUUAACCAAAGUUGCUUAGUAUUUAUGUGUUUGAAUUUUUUAUUCAAUCAUAUAUUACUCAACCAACAACCACCAUUUGUGAACAUGAAACCAAAUAACAUAGGAAAAUUAUUUUUCUUCUUGUUAGCAAAAAAAAAAACAAAGAGUUCUAAUCUUAUUCCAUAACACAUUGUCUAAGCUAUUUCAUAGACUUAUAAUCUAUUAAAACAACUAUUAACAAUGGAUCCCUUGGCUCUUA
rnacentral:misc_RNA from 1 species